CCCCUCUCUUUCCCACUCACUAGCGCGCGCGCGCGCAACGCUCAAAAAACCAAAAAGAAGACGCUCAUCUCUCUCACCAAGUGAUCUCUAUCUUCCAUAAACACACACACAGAUAAACUAAGCUUUCUCUCACUCAAAUCUCUCCAUAAACCUCACUAAUCACUCAAAAUCUAAAAAAAUAACAUAAAAUGGAAGCCUACUCCUCAAGCUAGACAAAGGAAGGAAGCAGAAAAAAAGAAAAAAAGGAGAAGAAAUUGCAAGAAAAUAGAGAAAGGGCUGAAACUUCCAACCGGCCGAUCUACCACCUCCGAGAACGGUGAGAUACACCGCCUGCACUAGAUGGAAGAGGAAGCGUUUAUGUACCUGCGGGCCCUUCACGCACUCCAAGAGCUCAUAGGCACAUGGAAAAACACGCCUCAAGCCACGGUGGUUCAAGCCGAGAUGAACCUCCUAUGAAACCACCGGUCACUAACAACCUUUGUGCUCAUUUCAUCCACCAUUGAAGAUGGAAUGUACAUGGUGGAAAUUGACCACGUUCUUAGACCUGGUCGUUAUUGUGUGCUUUCUGGUCCCCCAUUAACAAUAAGAAUGAUUACGAAGCAUUGCAGCGUCCUAAAGAGGAACUGGAGGAGGAAAAGAGGAAGAUCGAAGAGGUUGCCAAACUUCUUUGCUGGGAAAAGAGGCAUGAGAUUGGUGAAAUAGCUAUCUUGGCAUAAGAGAGUAAAUAAUGAUUUUUUCCGUGAGCAAGAUCCUAAACCAACUAUGUGUACAAGAAUGAGUAACUCCUUAUCCUGGGACAGAUGAAGUCACCGGUGCAGCAUGGCAGCCAUUUUCAGAGAAACUAAAUGUUGUUCCUUCCAGAAUAUCCAGUGUCUCCAUUCCAGGAUUGUCAGUUGAGAAAUUUCUAGAGGACAAUCGAACAUUAGCACUCAAUAUAUUUCGUUUUAAGCCCUUCCCAUUCAUGAUUCAUGUUCCUAUUAUUCUCGGUAUAGUUGCAAGUAUUUUAUGGUGCUGCAUAAUUUUUGCGUCUAAGUUUCAUUAUAGCCUUUAAAAUUCCAGCUUCGUAUGCGGGGUUAUUGGUCAUAUAAUUGGUGUUGGGGUUGUUCUUGGUCUUCAGAACAAUGGUGCACUGUAAAAAGCGUAUACCCUGCUUUAGAUUUUUUUUUUAAUAAAAUGAAAAUGCCUACAGAUUUUCUGUAAA